GACCACAUACCAGCUCCACGUUUGGCAAAGAUUCCUUGCAAGAUGAUGUUUAGUAUCAUGCUAGAGGACCUGGGUCUUCAAGAUGUAAGAUACAACUGCCAUACAAUGCUAAAGUUUUCUCACCACAUGCUCUCUCUUGUAUGUUCAAUUUGGGGAUAUAGGUGGAGUUCGAGUGUAAAAGAUGGAGGCGAAUUGGCCGAGAUUUGUGCGCCGGGAUUUGGUGGCUGGAUGAGGAAGAGGUGAGUGGAGGGUCUGAGCGCACCCCACGCCUCUGCUCGUCUUCUUCACUUCUAUCCAUGACUUCCCCGGCGGUGGCGUGGCGCCUGGUCUGCACACCGAACGACUCCUCUCCCCUUGCCAACAACUGAGUUGCCGGAGAAACCAGAGCAAGAGGUGGAGCUGAGCAGGAGCUGCGGCCUGAUGGACCAUGGAUGAGCGAGGUUGCGACCUCCACGCCCGUCCAGUGCACGAACAUGUCCCAGGAGCUGGACCAACGUGUUCGGCAGCGAGCGUAGUCAGUCUUGAGACUAAGGUCGCGAGGUGUGAAUAGGUCCUCAAGGUUUCCUGAAGCAUAUAUUUGUGCAUGAUCUAUGGCAUCUAACAAAGGUAUUGGAGAGCUGAGGCGUCGGUUACUAUCCAGCCAUGAAUGUGAGGCGGGGAGUGGCGCUCCGCAUACUAGCGCGUGCAUCUGAUAGCAUGUACUAUGAGGCUAGGUAGACGAGCUCCUGCGUUUAUUUUGCUCUGCAGCGGAAUAAGAUGCAUAAUAUCUUAACAAGAUCAGGUCGCUUUUGCUGCGGAUGACAAUGUCGUAUUUGGGGCAUCAAGCAUGUUAAACCCAAACUGGUCAUCUGACCGAUCAAUGGAGUAAUGUUAGUUGUAAGACGAAUCACUAAGACAUAGAAGAUACUUUUGUACAGAGCGCCUUGGUUCCCUGACACCCAUAUUAUGUAAUUUUGUGCUACGGACUACUCCUGUUUAGUGGAAAUCCAUGCUAUCACACUUGAUCUAUGUACAAUGUAUCAGCUACCCGAUUGUACUUUAUUUUGUUUUGGGUUUUCAA